rnacentral:rRNA from 1 species
CCUACGGGAGGCAGCAGUGAGGAAUAUUGGUCAAUGGCCGUAAGGCUGAACCAGCCAAGUCGCGUGAAGGAAGAAGGAUCUAUGGUUUGUAAACUUCUUUUAUAGGGGAAUAAAGGUAUCCACGUGUGGAUAUUUGCAUGUACCCUAUGAAUAAGCAUCGGCUAACUCCGUGCCAGCAGCCGCGGUAAUACGGAGGAUGCGAGCGUUAUCCGGAUUUAUUGGGUGUAAAGGGUGCGUAGGUUGUUUUUUAAGUCAGCGGUGAAAGUUUGUGGCUCAACCAUAAAAUUGCCGUUGAAACUGGAAGACGUGAGUGUGUUUGAGGUAGGCGGAAUGCGUGGUGUAGCGGUGAAAUGCAUAGAUAUCACGCAGAACUCCGAUUGCGAAGGCAGCUUACUAAGCCAUAACUGACACUGAAGCACGAAAGCGUGGGGAUCAAACAGGAUUAGAUACCCCGGUAGUC